GAUGAACGCUGGCGGCGUGCCUAAUACAUGCAAGUCGAGCGAACGGACGAGAAGCUUGCUUCUCUGAUGUUAGCGGCGGACGGGUGAGUAACACGUGGAUAACCUACCUAUAAGACUGGGAUAACUUCGGGAAACCGGAGCUAAUACCGGAUAAUAUUUUGAACCGCAUGGUUCAAAAGUGAAAGACGGUCUUGCUGUCACUUAUAGAUGGAUCCGCGCUGCAUUAGCUAGUUGGUAAGGUAACGGCUUACCAAGGCAACGAUGCAUAGCCGACCUGAGAGGGUGAUCGGCCACACUGGAACUGAGACACGGUCCAGACUCCUACGGGAGGCAGCAGUAGGGAAUCUUCCGAAAUGGGCGAAAGCCUGACGGAGCAACGCCGCGUGAGGGAUGAAGGUCUUCGGAUCGUAAAACUCUGUUAUUAGGGAAGAACAUAUGUGUAAGUAACUGUGCACAUCGUGACGGGACCUAAUCAGAAAGCCACGGCUAACUACG
rnacentral:rRNA from 1 species